rnacentral:rRNA from 1 species
UACGAAGGGGGCUAGCGUUGCUCGGAAUUACUGGGCGUAAAGGGCGCGUAGGCGGACAGUUUUAGUCAGAGGUCGAAGGCCCAGGCUCAACCUUGGAAUAGCCUUUGAUACUGACUGUCUUGAGUUCGGGAGAGGUGAGUGGAAUGCCGAGUGUAGAGGUGAAAUUCGUAGAUAUUCGGCGGAACACCAGUGGCGAAGGCGACUCACUGGCCCGAUACUGACGCUGAGGCGCGAAAGCGUGGGGAGCAAACAGG